rnacentral:rRNA from 1 species
UACGGAGGGUGCAAGCGUUAUCCGGAUUCACUGGGUUUAAAGGGUGCGUAGGCGGGCAGGUAAGUCCGUGGUGAAAUCUCCGAGCUUAACUCGGAAACUGCCAUGGAUACUAUUUGUCUUGAAUAUUGUGGAGGUGAGCGGAAUAUGUCAUGUAGCGGUGAAAUGCUUAGAUAUGACAUAGAACAUCGAUUGCGAAGGCAGCUUACUACACAACGAUUGACGCUGAGGCACGAAAGCGUGGGGAUCAAACAGG